rnacentral:rRNA from 1 species
UACGAAGGGGACUAGCGUUGUUCGGAAUCACUGGGCGUAAAGCGCACGUAGGCGGAUAUGUCAGUCGGGGGUGAAAUCCCGGGGCUCAACCUCGGAACUGCCUUUGAUACAGCAUAUCUUGAGUCCGGUAGAGGAAGGUGGAAUUCCUGGUGUAGCGGUGAAAUGCGUAGAUAUCAGGAGGAAUACCGGUGGCGAAGGCGGCCUUCUGGACGGUGACUGACGCUGAGACGCGAAAGCGUGGGGAGCAAACAGG